rnacentral:rRNA from 1 species
UACGAAGGGAGCUAGCGUUGUUCGGAAUCACUGGGCGUAAAGCGCACGUAGGCGGAUUUGCCAGUCAGGGGUGAAAUCCCGGGGCUCAACCUCGGAACUGCCUUUGAUACAGCAAGUCUUGAGUUCGAGAGAGGUGGGUGGAAUUCCUAGUGUAGAGGUGAAAUUCGUAGAUAUUAGGAAGAACACCGGUGGCGAAGGCGGCUCACUGGCCCGGUACUGACGCUGAGGUGCGAAAGCGUGGGGAGCAAACAGG